rnacentral:snRNA from 1 species
GUGCUCACUUCAGCAGCACAUGUAUUAAAAUUGGAACGAUACAGAGAAGAUUAGCAUGGCCCCUGUGCAAGGAUGACACGCAAAUUCGUGAACUGUUCCAUAUUUUU